UCUCCGUAGGUGAACCUGCGGAGGGAUCAUUACUGAGUGAGGGUCUCCGGGCCCGACCUCCAACCCUUUUGUGAACCACCUCGUUGCUUCGGGGGCGACCCUGCCGCUUCGGCGGUGCGGCGCCCCCGGAGGCCAUUAAACACUGCAUCAUUGCGUCGGAGUCUUAAUGAAUUUAAACAAAACUUUUAACAACGGAUCUCUUGGUUCCAGCAUCGAUGAAGAACGCAGC
rnacentral:misc_RNA from 1 species